UUUCAGCACACCUGACAAGUGUCCAGUUUAAAUCAGUGGCAAGUGUGCAUACUGAAAGUGGAGUGGAUGGCUACUCAAGGAAGGUCCUGUACUUGGAUGCAGCAACUAACAACAGGGCAAAAACUGCAUUCUCAUUUUUCCUGAGAUCAGCCCAGCUUCACGGCUUGCCAUCAAGGGUUAGGGCAGAUCAAGGAGUAGAAAACCUGGACAUUGCACAUUUCAUGUUUGCCACAAGAGGAACAGGGAGAGCGAGUUUCAUAUCUGGAAAGAGUGUCCACAAUCAGAGGUUAG